rnacentral:snRNA from 1 species
AAAAGCCAUUUGAGUCCUUAUCUUGGGGUUUAUGUGCGUCCCUCCCGAAGCUGUGAGCUUGGUCCCUGGUAGAGGAGGACCGGUUUUCGGUCAGGGGUAUUCGAGUAGCUGAGCCCCCAUGCUAGAACCUCCAAACAAGCUCUCAAAGUCCAUUUGUCUCCUUUUUAAAAUCUGUGGUAAUUUUGGUCUAGACAACUGUAAAUAUUUACUUGAUGGGUAAUGAAUUUUUAAAUAUUUCUGU